rnacentral:rRNA from 1 species
UUAAAAAAUACUUAUAAAUAAGAAAGACGACAAGACCCUAUUGAACUUAACUUUAGUUUAACUGGGGCAGUUAAUUAAUUAUUAUUUUAAUAUAUAAAAAAUUAUAUAAAUCCUUUCUGAUAAACAAGUUACCAUAGGGAUAACAGCGUUAUCAAUUUUAUAAGAUCUUAUAAAAAAAAAAGAUUACGACCUCGAUGUUGAAUUAAUUACCUUAUUUAAGCAAUCCUAAAUAAAGGAAGUCUGUUCGACUUAUAAAUAAUUACAUGAUUUGAGUUCAGACCGGCGUAAGCCAGGUCGGUUUCUAUCUUCUUAAAAUAUUUUUACAGUACGAAAGGACCUAUAAAACUUUUA